UACAGGGGGUGCAAACGUUGCUCGGAAUUAUUGGGCGUAAAGCGCGCGUAGGCGGCUACUUAAGUCGGAUGUGAAAGCCCUGGGCUCAACCUGGGAAUUGCAGUGGAUACUGGAUCACUAGAGUGUGGUAGAGGAUAGUGGAAUUUCCGGUGUAGCAGUGAAAUGCGUAGAGAUCGGAAGGAACAUCUGUGGCGAAGGCGACUAUCUGGGCCAACACUGACACUGAGGCACGAAAGCGUGGGGAGCAAACAGG
rnacentral:rRNA from 1 species